AGAGUUAAAAAAUUUUAGAGGAAGAAAUAGAGUAAUACAUUAGAGUAAAAAUAGAGAAAAUUCACCUCUAUUAUAGAGAUAGAGGUAAAAAUAAAGAAAUACAACAUUGGAGAUGGUCUUAAUAUACUUCUCUAGAAUCCGAAAUUAUAGCUUCGCUAGUAGUGUCUUAAACCCACCUUGGUUGGGUUAAAAAAAAAGUUUAGAUUUAGAACAAAAGAGCUAUGGAUUUGGCAUAACAACAGAUUUUGAGCUCUGUUUCUCAAUUUUUCUUUUCUUCUAACAAUUUUUUUUUUUUUCCGUCUAUCCAACACAAUUUGUUGUUUAGUUGGAUUUCAUGUCUAUGCAGGAUUUAGUGUCUCCACAGGAGAUAGGGUUCAGAAACAUGGCUAACCGUUCUUAUGCAUCUUUACAAAUUGGUAUAGGGCAUGGAGAAGGCACUUCCACUCAAGGAUCAAUAGAGGCAGAGAUGUUUGAGAGCGAAAUCCCACUUCAGCAAAAUACCUACAGACUUGCAUCCAUUCUUGCCAGAAAUUGUUCUACUGAAGCCGGAUAAGGGGCUUCUCCAUUAUUUUGAUACCAUAGAAGCAAAGGUUACAGUUUGGAGUAAUAAAAUCGAGACUAGGCAAAGCGGAGUUUGGAAGGAAACAAUAAAAAGUACAUAUAGCCAAGGAAGUCAUGGUGAAUUAAUUGGUGGUUUAGGACGUGUCUAAAAUUGCCGUUAACUACUCGUUCGGUCCGAAAAUCUUUCCAGGUGAGUUCUAACUCCCUUAUUAGUUAUUAUACAUUUGUAUAAUAUUUAGGGAUAUGAUAGAAAGAAGAUAUGAAUUAUUUGUAUGUUUGAAUUAUGAAAAUUAAUUAUUUGUUUUAGUAUUAUUAUGCUGAAUAUGAUGUGGUGAUGAAAUAUGUUAUUCUGUUAACACCGGUAUCAGCAUGAUAUUCUGAUUUAGCUAGCUCUAUUGAGCAAUCUGUGGCGGCCGGCAUCGCCAACAGUUGUAUUCCGUAUUCUGUUAGUCUGUUAGUGAUAUUGAGAUCGGUUAAUGUCGUGGACUGUACUUCCUUAUCACCUCGUUAGAAGCCAACAUCCCUAUCGAGUAUAUUAUGUAAAUAUUCUGUUAGUAUAUGGUUUGGGUCGACCAAUGAUGGGGUUGUACCCUUUCGAUGAUGCAUUGCUAGAUAUAUGGUCGUUCUGCUCUGAUGUUAUUAUUCUGUCUGAUGAUAUUAUUCUGUUCUAAUGAUUUGAUUAAGUAUUUCUGAUAGUAUAUGUUCUGUUGUGAUUUAUUUUAUUUAUAAUUAAUUGAAUUGGAAUUUUUGUUUGUUAGUACCAACACGAGAAUAUUAUUCUGUGCGGGAUCAGACCGUGUUGGUACUUGUUCGUCGGGCUUUUAGUCUCACUAGGCGAUUUUUUCGCUAACAUAAGUUCUGAUUUCGUGCAGAGGGCAUUGAGGAGGAGCAGCGUGCAGCUGAGGUUUAGAGUUUAUUUUUAGUCAUAGAGCGAGACUUGGUAGAUUCUCCGAAGUUUAAUUUAGCUUGUUUUUGAGAUUUGGGGUUUUACGAGAUUUUAAACUUUAUACAUUAUGGAAAUUUCAGUAUUUUUAUUAUAUUAGUUUUAGUAAUGCUUCAAAAAUUCUUUUUGAAUUUUUGGGGCGUUAAAAAACUUCUCUACAGAGUUUAUCUUAAUUUUGUCGUUCUUUUACUUUGUUUUCUCAAUGAACUUUUCUAUUGAUUUCAGAUUAGGCAAAGCGGAGUUUGGAAGAAACAAUAAAAGUACAUAGCCAAGGAAGUCAUGUUUCUGCUUGACUUUUGUAAUGAUGGCCGAGCAUUGGAAAAGUUCAUAAAUAGCGGAGGGGAUCACUAUUGUUAUGGGUUUCCAACCUAUAAAGGUCUACUGUUUGCAAUGGUACAUGGUAUACCAACAACCGGAAAUUGGACAAAUACUGGGUGUGGAACUGCAGUCAGAUCGUGAUGUCAGAGCAGUCAUAUCCAAGCACGUCUUAAAUGACGUUAGAGCUUUUACUGAUGUUCAGAAGGCUAUUCGUUACUUGGAAAAGCAACCAAUCCUCGAAAGUCUUGCUGUAUACACUCCCGAAUUUAGUAAUACUAGGUGAAUACCACGCUACGCGUGGGCUGUUGUUUUGAAAAUUGUUAAAAAUAAAUUAUACUGACCGAAUUUUGUUGCUAAUUUAUGUAGUAACAAUUUUGAUGGUUGGAUUCAUUUUUGACUCGAAAUAUCAAUUAUACAUUUUUCAUAUAUAAAUAUAAUUAUCUAUAUACCUAAGAUUAUAAUUUUUUCA